GUGCUCACUUUGGCAGCACAUAUACUAAAAUUGGAACAAUACAGAGAAGAUAGCAUGGCCCCUGUGCAAGGAUGACACACAAAUUCAUGAAGCGUUCCAUAUUUUA
rnacentral:snRNA from 1 species